AAGUCGUAACAAGGUAACCGUAGGUGAACCUGCGGUUGGAUCAUUACUAAAUCCAACUCUUGACGCUAGCAAUAGCUGAUGGAAAUUCAGAGUGGUUGGCUUAGGCUAGCCAUUCGACACACCAAUGUGAACCAAAUUGUACUUGGAGUUUUGUUGCCCAAGAGUUUCGGCUCAAGGGAGACUGCUUCAACUCAAUAUAAACUUUUACUAGUCAGCCUUUUUAUUCAUAAUUCGACCAGUUUGUCAUUUUGAUAAGCUCUAGGAAUAUAACAAUAAGAAAACAACUUUUGACAACGGAUCUCUUGGCUCUC
rnacentral:misc_RNA from 1 species